rnacentral:lncRNA from 1 species
AUGGCCACAGGCUCAGAGCACAGAACAGUGCGGAGGGCUGUUUUCUGUAGUGUCACCAUCGUUGUCAACUGGUCUGUAAGAAGAAAAGCAGUACAGAACAGGCCUCAAGCCCCAACCGAGUCAGGUCAAAGCAGCUGGAAGCCUGUGUCAGCCUCUAGUCCACAAACCAUAGCAGCUCACUGGAGACGGGGCAUCAGAGAGACACCCUACUUCUUUUCCCUUCCUGGAAGCAAGAAGACCAGAGCUGGCUGCUUGGAGCACGUGGCCCGGCGAGCUGUGGAUGCUGUCCAAACAUGCGCCGUGGGACAGUGAAAACUAAUGGGGUGAAUCAGCAGGUAGAACUGGGUCAGAGAGAACCCAGACAGUUGCCCCACAAUCUCACUGUGUGAGCAGGAAGAGAAAAGGGGCCCUCCAUCAACAAAGAAGAGAGCCCUGACCAACACUGAAUCUGCUCCUGCAUUGUGCUUGGACUUCCAGACUCCAGAACUGUGAGUGACAGACACAUUUCUGUUGUAUGAAAGCUACCCAGUCUGUAGUAUUUUGUAAUCGUCAGAAGAACAUACCAAGACUAAGCAGGAUAGAGUCCUGCACAGCACAAGCCCUGCUUCUUUUCCACUUGCUCAUUCAUGGCCCUUCAAUUCCUGUUCUUCAUCCACUGGUGUGAAUUCUGCAGGCCCAAUCUUGAAUAGCUGGGCUAAAACUCCAAUUCCUCAUCUUCAGUGAUUUUCUACAGAUUUUUUCCCCAAGGCAUAUCAACAAGAUUUCAGCAUAAGGGGAAUUCCCAUCCUCUAAUAAAAGAUGCACUGAGAGAUUUAUUUUGGUACUGAAAGGCUGUUCUUGUGACCAGCACAGAAGCUUUGACAAUAAGACUACUCCUCCUUUCUGCC